AUUAGAUACCCUGGGUAGUCCACGCAGUAAACGAUGAAUGCCGGCUGUCCGGCCCGAGUGAGGGCUGGGUGGCGAAGCGAAAGCGAUAAGCAUUCCACCUGGGGAGUACGCCGGCAACGGUGAAACUCAAAGGAAUUGACGGGGGCCCGCACAAGCGGAGGAACAUGUGGUUUAAUUCGAUGAUACGCGAGGAACCUUACCCGGGCUCAAACGGGAGAUGACACAGGGAGGGACCCCUGUUUCUCAGGACAUCUUCCGAGGUGCUGCAUGGUUGUCGUCAGCUCGUGCCGUGAGGUGUCGGCUUAAGUGCCAUAACGAGCGCAACCCCUUUCGUCAGUUGCCAUCGGGUAAUGCCGGGCACUCUGGCGACACUGCCGCCGCAAGGUGUGAGGAAGGUGGGGAUGACGUCAAAUCAGCACGGCCCUUACGUCCGGGGCUACACACGUGUUACAAUGGGGCAUACAGAGAGUUGGUCAUGCGCAAGCAUGAUCGGAUCAUGAAAGUGUCCCUCAGUUCGGACUGGGGUCUGCAACCCGACCCCACGAAGCUGGAAUCGCUAGUAAUCGCGGAUCAGCACGCCGCGGUGAAUACGUUCCCGGGCCUUGUACACACCGCCCGUCACACCAUAGAAGUCUGCAAUGCCCGAAGCCGGUGGCCUAACCACUUAUGUGGAAGGAGCCGUCUAAGGCAGGGCAGAUGACUGGGGUGAAGUCGUAACAAGGUAAC
rnacentral:rRNA from 1 species